GUGUGCUUGUGGGUGCAACCCCGAGUAGCGCGGAGCUCGUGGAAUUUCGUGUGAAUCUGGCAGGACCACCUGUCAAGCCUAAAUACGUCCUGGUGACCGAUAGUGGACGAGUACCGUGAGGGAAAGGUGAAAAGCGCCCCGGUGAGGGUGGUGAAAGAGUACCUGAAACCGUGUGCUGUCAAGCCGUCAGAGCCCUGUGGGGUGAUGGCGUGCCUUUUGAAGAAUGAGCCUGCGAGUUGUGGUGUGUGGCGAGGUUAACCCGGGUGGGGUAGCCGUAGCGAAAGCGAGUCUUAAAUGGGCGGUUGAGUCGCAUGCUGUUGACCCGAAGCGGGGUGAUCUACCAUGUCCAGGGUGAAGCGGCUGUAAGAGGUCGUGGAGGCCCGAACCCACCAGGGUUGAAAACCUGGGGGAUGAGGUGUGGGUAGGGGUGAAAGGCCAAUCAAACCCUGUGAUAGCUGGUUCUCCCCGAAAUGCAUUUAGGUGCAGCGUCGCGUGGUGCGCCCCGGAGGUAGAGCGACUGGUUGGUUGAUGGGCCCUGCCGGGUUACUGAGAUCAGCUAAACUCCGAAUGCCGGUGGUGUUGAGCGUGGCAGUGAGACUGCGGGGGAUAAGCUCCGUGGUCGAGAGGGAAACAGCCCAGAUCGCCAGCUAAGGCCCCUAAGCGUGUGCUGAGUGGGAAAGGUUGUGGAGUUGCUCAGACAACCAGGAGGUUGGCUUAGAAGCAGCCAUCCUUGAAAGAGUGCGUAAUAGCUCACUGGUCAAGUGGUUCUGCGCCGAUAAUGUAGCGGGGCUGAAGCACACCGCCGAAGCUGUGGACCCCUCCUUGUGGGGGGUGGUAGGGGAGCGUCGUGCCCGGCGGUGAAGCCGGCAAGGGAUUGUCGGUGGAGCGGGUGCGAGUGAGAAUGCAGGCAUGAGUAGCGAAACCAGCGUGAGAAACGCUGGCGCCGAGUGACUAAGGGUUCCUGGGGCAGGUUAAUCCGCCCAGGGUGAGUCGGGGCCUAAGGCGAGGCCGACAGGCGUAGUCGAUGGAUGACGGGUUGAUAUUCCCGUACCCGUUCGCGAGCGUCCCAUACUCCCGCCCGCCGAUGCUAACCGGUGGCGUCUGAUCCGUUGGCCCUUCGGGGCCGGUGGUGGGGCGUGCUGGGGUCCGAGGCGGGGUCCGGGGGGCAGUGAUGGGGUGACGCAGCAGGGUAGCUCUACCGGGCGGUGGUUGUCCCGGGAUAAGCGUGUAGCCCCAGGUGUAGGUAAAUCCGCGCCUGAUGGUGGGUGAGGCGUGAUGUCGAGCCGGUUUUGGUGAAGUGAGUGAGCCCAUACUGCCGAGAAAAGCCUCUAGCGAGUUCGCGGGCGGCCCGUACCCGAAACCGACGCAGGUGGUCAGGUUGAGUAGACCGAGGCGUUCGGGUGAACCAUGGUUAAGGAAUUCGGCAAAUUGUCCCCGUAACCUUGGGAGAAGGGGAGCCCUGUCCCGUGAAACACCGUGCGUGUGGAGCGGGGUGGGGUCGCAGAUACCAGGGGGAAGCGACUGUUUACUAAAAACACAGGUCCGUGCGAAGUCGUAAGACGCGGUAUACGGACUGACGCCUGCCCGGUGCCGGAACGUUAAGAGGACCGGUCACCCGCUGUUGGCGGGGCCGCUGGGAAUCUAAGCGCCGGUAAACGGCGGUGGUAACUAUAACCAUCCUAAGGUAGCGAAAUUCCUUGUCGGGUAAGUUCCGACCUGCACGAAUGGCGUAACGACUUCCCCGCUGUCUCAACCAUGGGCCCGGUGAAAUUGCACUACGAGUAAAGAUGCUCGUUUCGCGCAGCAGGACGGAAAGACCCCGGGACCUUCACUACAGCUUGAUAUUGGUGUUUGGGAUGGUCUGUGUAGGAUAGGUGGGAGCCGGUGAAGCCGCCACGCGAGUGGGGGUGGAGGCGUUGGUGAAAUACCACUCUGGCCUUGUCGAGCACCUCAACCCGGAUCCGUGACCCGGAUCGGGGACAGUGUCUGGUGGGUAGUUUAACUGGGGCGGUUGCCUCCUAAAGGGUAACGGAGGCGCCCAAAGGUUCCCUCGGCCUGGUUGGUAAUCAGGUGGUGAGUGUAAGUGCACAAGGGAGCUUGACUGCGAGACCGACGGGUCGAGCAGGUGCGAAAGCAGGGACUAGUGAUCCGGCGCCGGCGUGUGGAAGCGGCGUCGCUCAACGGCUAAAAGGUACCCCGGGGAUAACAGGCUGAUCUUCCCCAAGAGUCCGUAUCGACGGGAUGGUUUGGCACCUCGAUGUCGGCUCGUCGCAUCCUGGGGCUGGAGUUGGUCCCAAGGGUUGGGCUGUUCGCCCAUUAAAGCGGCACGCGAGCUGGGUUUAGAACGUCGUGAGACAGUUCGGUCCCUAUCCGCUGCGCGCGUUGGAGACUUGCGAAGGGCUGUCCCUAGUACGAGAGGACCGGGACGGACGAACCUCUGGUGUGCCAGUUGUCCCGCCCGGGGCAUGGCUGGUUGGCCACGUUCGGUACUGGUAACCGCUGAAAGCAUCUAAGCGGGAAACACGCUUUUAGAUGAGGUCUCCCACCCCUUUGUGGGGGUAAGGCCUCCCAGAGACGAUGGGGUUGAUAGGCCGGAGGUGCAAGCGCCGCAAGGCGUUGAGCCGACCGGUACUAAUCGGCCGAGGGCUUGCCCAC
rnacentral:rRNA from 1 species